UAAAUAGAAAUAUAUCACCAGCAGCACAAGUGGACUACAGCCUCGGAAAUGUCCUCACCGUCCGGCUUCAUGGCAAGCAGCCUGGCUGUUGGCAAGAUGCGCCCAGCUCUGCUUCUGCUCGUGUGGAACCUUACAUUACCCUAACGCAGCUGGGGCACAAGCCGUCUGUGCUUAUACUAUUCUUCUUAAGCUUGGAGACACACUCACCUUGAGAUCUCUCCUCUUUUUCAUCUAGACACUGAUGAGGAAACUGAGGCCCCACGUGGUGAAGACAAUUUUUACCCGAAUCCACCCACAACAAGAGACCAUUUGGAUAAUGUACAUUAUGGGAAGAGAACAGAGUCUCAGUGAAGAUCAUGUUUCCCCAGCAACACAGGUGCCAGGAGUAGCUGGCUCUGGUCCCAGCCCAGACUCAGAAAUCCUGAGCCACCAGACCAUUUCUAGAUUAACAAGUAAGGUGACUUCUGAGCAACUAAUGUUUUCAUUGAGAUUUGAUGAUAAGCAGCAAAGCUCAAAUGAAAGUCCAGAGUUAGUGUUGGCAGGGCGAGAUGGCUCAUGCCUGUAAUCCCAGCACUUUGGGAGGCUGAGGUGGGAGGAUCACUUGAGCCCAGGAGUUUGAGACCAGCCCGAGCUAUAUAGUGAGACCCUAUCUCUACAAAAAAUACAAAAAUUAGCUGGGCGUAGUUGUGCGUGCCUGUAGUUCUAACUACUCAGGAGGCUGACAGGGGAUGAUCGCUUAAACCCAAGAUAUCGAAGCUGCAAUGAGUUGAGAUUGCACCACUGCACUCCAGCCUGGACGGCAGAAUGAAACCUUGUCUAAAACACACACACACACACACACACACACACACACACACACACACACACACACACACACACAGAGUAUUGAUUACAGCGCUAUACCAGGUUCUAGUGUUGAGUAAGGGACAGGGAGGAGCAAUCUGUAAAGAAAUAGAGUCUCACUGGAAUUUCAUUCUUCAUUAUUUCAUACCCUUCACUUUUUCUAGACGCUAACCCCAUAUGAUACUAAAAAGUAUCUGUAUUGCAUCAGACGACGUAUCUGUGAAGUCAGAGAAUUGUGCUUUAAGAAUCUCUCAAGAGGAGAACAUAUAUUGGGCUUUCAUAAUACCAAUAACAUUUUACAUCAUGCUUCAUUUACAAGCUAUUUUCACACAUAUCACUCUAUUUAAUCUUCACAACUUGGUGAGAUAAACAAAGUAUUAUUUUCAGUAUAAUUUUCUGGAUGAGAAAAUUAUAGCUUAGAGAAGUUGUGUCUUGCACGAGAUCACAAAGCUAAUUAAGUGGAAAGGUUACUUAACAUUAACUACAAACCAGAUCUUCCACCAAGCCUUUUCCCCACCACAGGGCUUUGCUGGUUGGGGAGAAAUUGUCAUUUGGUCCCAGAACACACUUGAAGGCCACUGCCUUAAGCAACCCUUUGAGUAACAAGGAAGAAAGUAUUCCCGUAGGUCAUAAAUACUGCUUUACUAACUUCCUAAAUGUCUUCAUAAAAUCUUAGGGAAAUGGUUAAUGGACACUAAUUUUAAACUUUAAAAUAAUAUAAUUAUUGCCCUUUCUUCCAACAAUUCCACAUCUGUGAAUUCUCCUAAGAGAACCAUUAUGGAUAUGAAAAAUAUUUAGCUACAAGAGGUUUUUUGAAGCACUGUUUAUAACAGAAAACAAAUAUAAAGCUCAGCAUUGGAAAAGUGGUAAAAUGGAUUAUGCUGAACUCAUGAAAAUAAUGUCAGGGUUUCCCACACUUUGAUUAUUCAUGUGGCAUCUUCAGAAUAUUGCCAUCUGCACUAAUAUUUACUUAACAUUUUCCUUUAAAUUAAUUCAUACAUUUUACUGGAAUAAAAUUAUUUAAAGGUAUUUUUUAUUAUUAACAUAAGUAGAAAUACAGUAUUAAUUGCCUUAAAUGUCAGAUGACAAUAAAAACAAAUACAAUGAAAACAAAGUAAUGUUAUUAAUGCAUGAAUUUGGUCCCAAUACCUUGAAGAAAACAUAUGACUGAUUUAAUAAAAUCACAAGUAAUCCCUUUUUUUGCCAUCACAAACUUCACCUUUCUGCAUUAAAAAAUCUCUUUUUUCACCUCUGAUCUAUAAAAGGUUCAAUGGAAAAAAGAUAUGCAGUGUGUGUCUGACCCCAAAUCACAGUUAGAUAUAUUUAUGCAUA
rnacentral:lncRNA from 1 species